UACGAAGGGGGCUAGCGUUGUUCGGAUUUACUGGGCGUAAAGCGCACGUAGGCGGCUUCUUAAGUCGGUGGUGAAAUCCUGGAGCUCAACUCCAGAACUGCCUUCGAUACUGGGAAGCUCGAGUCCGGGAGAGGUGAGUGGAACUGCGAGUGUAGAGGUGAAAUUCGUAGAUAUUCGCAAGAACACCAGUGGCGAAGGCGGCUCACUGGCCCGGUACUGACGCUGAGGUGCGAAAGCGUGGGGAGCAAACAGG
rnacentral:rRNA from 1 species